rnacentral:lncRNA from 1 species
UUGGUCUCUCCCUCUUAAAUCCUCAUUAUUGGGAUUUCUGUUUACCUGAUGUUGCUCUUCAUGCCUUUAAUUUUGAUUGUAUUGGAAACAAUUGUACUAGGGUUUCGUCCUUUAAUGAAUUUAUUUGCAUAAAAAAAAAUAGAUUGAACAAAUCAAAAGAAAAACAAGAGGCGGAAUUAAGAGACAUGUGCAAGAGGUGAAAAAUCUUGUGUAGAAAUCACUACCCAAGAUGAGUGAUGUGUAAUGCUCUUAUUUUCCUAUUAGGCUACAUUUGGUAGGUAGAAAUUGUUGAUACAAAUUUCGUUCAAGGUAGAAUUGAC